rnacentral:rRNA from 2 species
UGUGAGCUCGAUGAGUAGGGCGGGACACGUGGUAUCCUGUCUGAAUAUGGGGGGACCAUCCUCCAAGGCUAAAUACUCCUGACUGACCGAUAGUGAACCAGUACCGUGAGGGAAAGGCGAAAAGAACCCCGGCGAGGGGAGUGAAAAAGAACCUGAAACCGUGUACGUACAAGCAGUGGGAGCACGCUUAGGCGUGUGACUGCGUACCUUUUGUAUAAUGGGUCAGCGACUUAUAUUCUGUAGCAAGGUUAACCGAAUAGGGGAGCCGAAGGGAAACCGAGUCUUAACUGGGCGUUAAGUUGCAGGGUAUAGACCCGAAACCCGGUGAUCUAGCCAUGGGCAGGUUGAAGGUUGGGUAACACUAACUGGAGGACCGAACCGACUAAUGUUGAAAAAUUAGCGGAUGACUUGUGGCUGGGGGUGAAAGGCCAAUCAAACCGGGAGAUAGCUGGUUCUCCCCGAAAGCUAUUUAGGUAGCGCCUCGUGAAUUCAUCUCCGGGGGUAGAGCACUGUUUCGGCAAGGGGGUCAUCCCGACUUACCAACCCGAUGCAAACUGCGAAUACCGGAGAAUGUUAUCACGGGAGACACACGGCGGGUGCUAACGUCCGUCGUGAAGAGGGAAACAACCCAGACCGCCAGCUAAGGUCCCAAAGUCAUGGUUAAGUGGGAAACGAUGUGGGAAGGCCCAGACAGCCAGGAUGUUGGCUUAGAAGCAGCCAUCAUUUAAAGAAAGCGUAAUAGCUCACUGGUCGAGUCGGCCUGCGCGGAAGAUGUAACGGGGCUAAACCAUGCACCGAAGCUGCGGCAGCGACGCUUAUGCGUUGUUGGGUAGGGGAGCGUUCUGUAAGCCUGUGAAGGUGUACUGUGAGGUAUGCUGGAGGUAUCAGAAGUGCGAAUGCUGACAUAAGUAACGAUAAAGCGGGUGAAAAGCCCGCUCGCCGGAAGACCAAGGGUUCCUGUCCAACGUUAAUCGGGGCAGGGUGAGUCGACCCCUAAGGCGAGGCCGAAAGGCGUAGUCGAUGGGAAACAGGUUAAUAUUCCUGUACUUGGUGUUACUGCGAAGGGGGGACGGAGAAGGCUAUGUUGGCCGGGCGACGGUUGUCCCGGUUUAAGCGUGUAGGCUGGUUUUCCAGGCAAAUCCGGAAAAUCAAGGCUGAGGCGUGAUGACGAGGCACUACGGUGCUGAAGCAACAAAUGCCCUGCUUCCAGGAAAAGCCUCUAAGCAUCAGGUAACAUCAAAUCGUACCCCAAACCGACACAGGUGGUCAGGUAGAGAAUACCAAGGCGCUUGAGAGAACUCGGGUGAAGGAACUAGGCAAAAUGGUGCCGUAACUUCGGGAGAAGGCACGCUGAUAUGUAGGUGAAGUCCCUCGCGGAUGGAGCUGAAAUCAGUCGAAGAUACCAGCUGGCUGCAACUGUUUAUUAAAAACACAGCACUGUGCAAACACGAAAGUGGACGUAUACGGUGUGACGCCUGCCCGGUGCCGGAAGGUUAAUUGAUGGGGUCAGCGCAAGCGAAGCUCUUGAUCGAAGCCCCGGUAAACGGCGGCCGUAACUAUAACGGUCCUAAGGUAGCGAAAUUCCUUGUCGGGUAAGUUCCGACCUGCACGAAUGGCGUAAUGAUGGCCAGGCUGUCUCCACCCGAGACUCAGUGAAAUUGAACUCGCUGUGAAGAUGCAGUGUACCCGCGGCAAGACGGAAAGACCCCGUGAACCUUUACUAUAGCUUGACACUGAACAUUGAGCCUUGAUGUGUAGGAUAGGUGGGAGGCUUUGAAGUGUGGACGCCAGUCUGCAUGGAGCCGACCUUGAAAUACCACCCUUUAAUGUUUGAUGUUCUAACGUUGACCCGUGAUCCGGGUUGCGGACAGUGUCUGGUGGGUAGUUUGACUGGGGCGGUCUCCUCCUAAAGAGUAACGGAGGAGCACGAAGGUUGGCUAAUCCUGGUCGGACAUCAGGAGGUUAGUGCAAUGGCAUAAGCCAGCUUGACUGCGAGCGUGACGGCGCGAGCAGGUGCGAAAGCAGGUCAUAGUGAUCCGGUGGUUCUGAAUGGAAGGGCCAUCGCUCAACGGAUAAAAGGUACUCCGGGGAUAACAGGCUGAUACCGCCCAAGAGUUCAUAUCGACGGCGGUGUUUGGCACCUCGAUGUCGGCUCAUCACAUCCUGGGGCUGAAGUAGGUCCCAAGGGUAUGGCUGUUCGCCAUUUAAAGUGGUACGCGAGCUGGGUUUAGAACGUCGUGAGACAGUUCGGUCCCUAUCUGCCGUGGGCGCUGGAGAACUGAGGGGGGCUGCUCCUAGUACGAGAGGACCGGAGUGGACGCAUCACUGGUGUUCGGGUUGUCAUGCCAAUGGCACUGCCCGGUAGCUAAAUGCGGAAGAGAUAAGUGCUGAAAGCAUCUAAGCACGAAACUUGCCCCGAGAUGAGUUCUCCCUGACUCCUUGAGAGUCCUGAAGGAACGUUGAAGACGACGACGUUGAUAGGCCGGGUGUGUAAGCGCAGCGAUGCGUUGAGCUAACCGGUACUAAUGAACCGUGAGGCUUAACCUU